rnacentral:misc_RNA from 1 species
GGAGAGAAGGGUUGAGAGUGUGAUGAUGAUAGAAAUAUUUAUAGGAAUAAAAUUGUUACUGCACUCCGAUACAGACACGCACUUGGGAGUCGGAGCCUCGUCCAAUAAUCGUCGCCGGCGUUCGGAAUAAGGAUGGCCAUGAGAGGAUUGUUCCGCGCCAUCACGCGCCAGUUAGAUCGAGCGUUCGAGGUCAAAGCCUACGAAGGGAUGGUUGGUACGAGAACCGGAGCCUACCGUGCGAAGCCCGAAAUCAUGAGUUUCCCUCUCACAAAGGUAUUCCUCGUCGUCGUUCCCGGGGUGACUAUCGGCGCAUCCCUAUCCAAAUAUAGCGCUGCUUUCCUGGAGGAACAUGACAUCUUCGUGCCUUCGGACGAUGAUGACGACUGAGAACCCCACCAUCCGCAGUCAAGUCUUCUUCCUCAUUGGGGCGCUCCGAACCCCCCGAGAAUCUCUCAGAGAUGAUCUCGCCGAAUAAAUUGCUUAUUGAGCUCUACGAUGAAGCUUGAGUUGUACUUCCACACUUGUGGAAAAUCUUCCCCGUCGCGGAGACUAAGCAACGAGGAAAUCCAGAGACGCGCAUUCCACGGUCGAGUUGAGGAAAGAUGUAGUUUUAAUAAUGAGUCGGAUAAACGUACAAUG